CCUGCCCAAUGGUUGUAUCUAAAAGCGGUUGAUAAAAGUCGACCGCGUAAGGACAAUUGAAUGGCCGCGGUAACACUGACCGUGAUAAUGUAGCGUAAUCAAUACCCAAUUAAUUGUUGGCCAGUAUGAAUGGCGCCACGAAGGCCCCACUGUCUUAAGGAAAUUCCCAGUGAAAUUGAAUUCGUAGUGAAGAUGCUACGUCCAAUUUGUUAGACGAAAAGACCCCGUUGAGCUUUACUGGGGCACUUACACGGCCCCGGCCUUCAAGACUGGGUUGAUAAACCAAGGCUUACCAUACCUAGGGACCGGCCGAAUUUAAAUGGGSGGGUUAGACUAUGUGGCAGCCCCCCCCGUCGGGGCCGAUGAAACCCCCCUCCCCCAUGUCAAAGGGGCUAACCCCCCCCCCCUUGGGGGGGGGACAAUGUAAGUAGGACAGUUUGGUUGGGGCGACCGCCUUUUAGAGAGUAACGAAGGUGCGCUUAAGGUGCGUAAUUAAUGACUGAAGCCUGACUGCGAGGGGGACACCCCGAGCAGACACCCCCAAGCCCGCCCGAGAAGGCUUUGCCUUCUGGGCGGCGGUGGGGUGG
rnacentral:rRNA from 1 species